UCCCUGGUUGAUCCUGCCAGUAGUCAUAUUGCUUGUCUCAAAGAUUAAGCCAUGCAAGUCUCAGUACAAGCCACCAUUAAGCGAAACCGCAAAAGGCUCAUUAAAUCAGUUAUGGUUCCUUGGAUCGUACAAUCCAUUACUUGGAUAACUGUGGUAAUUCUAGAGCUAAUACAUGCAAACAGAAUCCCGACCAGAGAUGGAAGGGACGCUUUUAUUAGAUCAAAACCAAUCGGGGCACCAGCCCGCACUUCUUGGUGACUCUGAAUAACUUUCAGCUGAUCGCACGUCCUCGUACCGGCGACGCAUCUUUUCAAAUGUCUGACUUAUCAACUGUCGAUGGUAGAUUCUGCGCCUACCAUGGUUGUAACGGGUAACGGGGAAUCAGGGUUCGAUUCCGGAGAGGGAGCCUGAGAAACGGCUACCACAUCCAAGGAAGGCCAGCAGGCGCGCAAAUUACCCACAGUCCCGGCACGGGGAGGUAGUGACGAAAAAAAUAACGAUACGGGACUCAUCCGAGGCCCCGUAAUCGGAAUGAGUACACUUUAAAUCCUUUAACGAGUACCAAUUGGAGGGCAAGUCUGGUGCCAGCAGCCGCGGUAAUUCCAGCUCCAAUAGCGUAUAUUAAAGUUGUUGCGGUUAAAAAGCUCGUAGUUGGAUCUGUGUCUUACGAUGUCGGUUCAUCGCUCGCGGUGUUAACUGACAAUGUCCUGUGGGACGUCCUGCCGGUGGCGGUCCGGGCUCCCGGCGGUGUGUAGGGUCCGCCUGAAGCAUCACGAGGGUUCCGGCCGCCGAUUCAAUCCCGCCGCGGUGCUCUUGACUGAGUGUCGAGGUGGGCCGGCACGUUUACUUUGAACAAAUUAGAGUGCUUAAAGCAUGCUGAUUUCUGCCUGAAUACUGUGUGCAUGGAAUAAUGGAAUAGGACUUCGGUUCUAUUUUGUUGGUUUUUAAGAAUCCGAAGUAAUGAUUAAUAGGGACAGGCGGGGGCAUUCGUAUUGCGACGUUAGAGGUGAAAAUUCUUGGAUCGUCGCAAGACGUACCUAAGCGAAAGCAUUUGCCAAGUAUGUCCUCGUUAAUCAAGAACGAAAGUUAGAGGUUCGAAGGCGAUCAGAUACCGCCCUAGUUCUAACCAUAAACGAUGCCAGCCAGCGAUCCGCCGAAGUUCCUCCGAUGGACUCGGCGGGCAGCUUCCGGGAAACCAAAGCUUUUGGGUUCCGGGGGAAGUAUGGUUGCAAAGCUGAAACUUAAAGGAAUUGACGGCAGGGCACCACCAGGAGUGGAGCCUGCGGCUUAAUUUGAACUCAACACGGGAAACCUCACCAGGCCCGGACACCGGAAGGAUUGACAGAUUGAUAGCUCUUUCUUGAUUCGGUGGGUGGUGGUGCAUGGCCGUUCUUAGUUGGUGGAGCGAUUUGUCUGGUUAAUUCCGAUAACGAACGAGACUCUAGCCUGCUAACUAGGCGUCUCCGGUAUCCACAAUAGUGCUACCGGCGAAUUAAAUUCUUUCUUAGAGGGACAGGCGGCUUCUAGCCGCACGAGACUGAGCAAUAACAGGUCUGUGAUGCCCUUAGAUGUCCUGGGCCGCACGCGCGCUACACUGAAGGAAUCAGCGUGUCUUCCCUGGCCGAAAGGCCCGGGUAACCCGUUGAACCUCCUUCGUGCUAGGGAUUGGGGCUUGCAAUUGUUCCCCAUGAACGAGGAAUUCCCAGUAAGCGCGAGUCAUAAGCUCGCGUUGAUUACGUCCCUGCCCUUUGUACACACCGCCCGUCCGCUACUACCGAUUGAAUGAUUUAGUGAGGUCUUCGGGACUGGUGCGCGGCGAUCGCCUCGUGCGGUCGCCGAUGUUGCCGGAAAGAUGACCAAACUUGAUCAUUUAGAGGAAGUAAAAGUCGUAACAAGGUUUCCGUAGGUGAACCUGCGGAAGGAUCAUUA
rnacentral:rRNA from 1 species